rnacentral:SRP_RNA from 1 species
GGCGGGCCCCUGCGCAUUGUGGCGUGGUUAACCUGGUCAGGUCGGGAACGAAGCAGCCAUAGCCGCAUCCCGCAAGUGCCGCAGAUCAGGCUCGCCACC